rnacentral:rRNA from 1 species
UACAGAGGUCUCAAGCGUUGUUCGGAUUCAUUGGGCGUAAAGGGUGCGCAGGCGGCGGGGCAAGUCGGACGUGAAAUCUCGGGGCUUAACCCCGAAACUGCGUUCGAUACUGCCCUGCUAGAGGACUGGAGAGGAGACUGGAAUUUACGGUGUAGCAGUGAAAUGCGUAGAUAUCGUAAGGAAGACCAGUGGCGAAGGCGAAUCUCUGGACAGUUACUGACGCUGAGGCACGAAGGCCAGGGGAGCAAACGGG